rnacentral:rRNA from 1 species
UACGGGGGGGGCAAGCGUUGUUCGGAAUUACUGGGCGUAAAGGGCUCGUAGGUGGCCAACUAAGUCAGACGUGAAAUCCCUCGGCUUAACCGGGGAACUGCGUCUGAUACUGGAUGGCUUGAAUCCGGGAGAGGGAUGCGGAAUUCCAGGUGUAGCGGUGAAAUGCGUAGAUAUCUGGAGGAACACCGGUGGCGAAGGCGGCAUCCUGGACCGGCAUUGACGCUGAGGCGCGAAAGCCAGGGGAGCCAAAGC